AGAGUUUGAUCAUGGCUCAGGAUUAACGCUGGCGGUAUGCCUAACACAUGCAAGUCGAACGGAAUACUCGAAAAGAGAAUCUCACACUAGUGAGAGGUUCUCCAACCGAGUAUUUAGUGGCGGACGGGUGAGUAACACGUUGGAACCUGCCCCGAAGUGGGGAAUAACUGCUCGAAAGAGUAGCUAAUACCCCAUAGUAUCCGGUUUAUCCGGAUUAAAGAUUUAUCGCUUCGGGAGGGGCCUGCGUCUGAUUAGCUUGUUGGUGGGGUAAAAGCUCACCAAGGCGACGAUCAGUAGCUGGUUCGAGAGGAUGACCAGCCACACUGGGACUGAGAUACGGCCCAGACUCCUACGGGAGGCAGCAGUGAGGAAUCUUCCACAAUGUACGAAAGUCUGAUGGAGCAAUACCGCGUGCAGGACGACGCUUUUCGGAGUGUAAACUGCUUUUGUCGUCGAAGAUUAUGACUGUAGACGAAGAAUAAGGACCGGCUAACUACGUG
rnacentral:rRNA from 1 species